CGAAGUUCUCCCCAGUAUGGCUUCAGAUGAUGUCAUGCCUGCUGGGUAAUGCCCCUUUUCAGUCUAUAAACCUGAACCAGAGGCUGAGCAGAAAAUACAGAGCAAUAUCAAGCUCAUCCUAAGGAGAAGCUGUGCCUGGUACUGAUCAAACACUGAUGGCCUGAACCCCCCUUUCACCUAGACAGUGGCAAUCAGGGGAAUACAGGUAGAAGAAGAAACCUAAAGUUAAUCACUAGAAUGAUGAGGCUGCUACUCUGAUGUGACAUAUCUCUAUAACAAGUCAGAAAAUGGAUUUUCUGAAUGAAGGCACAC